rnacentral:lncRNA from 10 species
AGAAUUACUCCCGAACUCUACCAGCUGAAAUCCUCCUCAACUCACAUCAGACAAGACGGCCCUGCCACUUACCUGUCAGAUCACUUUGGGCAGUUUACAGGAGAGAAGAUGCAGCCUGGGAGAGAUGCAGCAGGUGUCUGAGGCCACACAGCAAGUCACCCAGGGCCAGGAUCUGAAGCUGGGUCUCUCCAGCUCCACUGCCUGGGCACUUUCUCCUCCACAGCGACCUUCAGGUCAUCAUGAGGAGCCUUUCGGACUAAAGCUAGAGAGCUGGGAUUCCAACAGUUCAGCAACCCAUGACUUCUCCAUGGCAGCUGCUGCCUGACCACCUAGUGCCUUUCCACUAAGAUUGUUCCUUCCCUCUCCUGAAGAUUAUCCUCCUGCCCCUCUCUCCCAAACAUCUGCGGUGUGCACCUGCUGCCCAAAGUUGAACUUUUUUUUGUUAGAGACAGGGCCUCACUGUGUCAUCCAGGCUGGAGUGCAGUGGCGUGAUCAUAGCUCACUGCAGCCUCCAACUCCUGGGCUCAAGUGACCCUCUCACCUCAGCUU